rnacentral:tRNA from 1 species
GGAGAGGUGUCUGAGUGGCUGAAGGUGCCGCUCUCGAAAAGCGGUGUGCCCGAAAGGGUACCGUGGGUUCGAAUCCCACCCUCUCCG